UACGGAGGGUGCAAGCGUUAUCCGGAUUUACUGGGCGUAAAGCGCACGUAGGCGGUUUGUUAAGUCAGGGGUGAAAUCCCGGAGCUCAACUCCGGAACUGCCUUUGAUACUGGCAAGCUAGAGUCCGGAAGAGGUAAGUGGAACUCCUAGUGUAGAGGUGGAAUUCGUAGAUAUUAGGAAGAACACCAGUGGCGAAGGCGGCCUACUGGUCCGGAACUGACGCUGAGGUGCGAAAGCGUGGGGAGCAAACAGG
rnacentral:rRNA from 1 species